UGACCUGUGUAAAUGCAGAAGAGUGCAGCAACCUCAGGAAACCAGGGUCAGCUGACGGCCAGGAAGGGUGGAUGCCUCCUUCUUGCCAAGGGCACCAUCCUGUCUGGGUCUGCACACAGAGGCCCCGGUGUGCGGAGUCUGCAGAGCUCAGGCCAGGGGACUGGAACCCCAGGGAGUGCCCACCUGCAGGAGUACACGAUAACAGGUAAGAUGGAGAGUUAACAGCGGCACUCGCCCCUGCCCGGUCCCGACAGGUAGGAAAUCCUGGCCGUACAGUCUGGCCUCCGCGAGCACAGCAGGAUGUGAGCAGGCCGGGGCCUGCAGCCCAG
ensembl:lncRNA